GGCUGGCUAGCUCAGUUGGUUAGAGCGUGGUGCUAAUAACACCAAGGUUGUCAGUUGGAUCCCAGCAUUAGCCA